rnacentral:misc_RNA from 1 species
GUUAUCAUCAUAAAAAUGUAUUUUCAUAAAUUAAGAGUCAUUCAUAAUUUAUUUAUUCAUUUCCAUUAAUUUAUUUGAUGUUCAACUUUUUUGUCUCAUUUCAUUGCCUAAAUAACCUAUAACAGACUGUUAAAAUUGGAUACUCGAGAAUAUAUUAAUUAGAUACCCCAUGUGCCUAUUAGGUAUACAUCGGUCAGGCAUAAAGCCAGCGGGUAGGCAUAAAAGCCAGUAUAAUCUGUCAGGCAAAAUUUGCUAGCG